UUGCUGAGUGGCGGACGGGUGAGUAACGCGUGGAUACCUGCCUCACACUGGGGGAUAACAGUUAGAAAUGACUGCUAAUACCGCAUAAGACCGCAUGGUAAAAACUCCGGUGGUGUGAGAUGGAUCCGCGUCUGAUUAGCCAGUUGGCGGGGUAACGGCCCACCAAAGCGACGAUCAGUAGCCGACCUGAGAGGGUGACCGGCCACAUUGGGACUGAGACACGGCCCAAACUCCUACGGGAGGCAGCAGUGGGGAAUAUUGCACAAUGGGCGAAAGCCUGAUGCAGCGACGCCGCGUGAGUGAAGAAGUAUUUCGGUAUGUAAAGCUCUAUCAGCAGGGAAGAAAGUGACGGUACCUGAAUAAGAAGCCCCGGCUAACUACGUGCCAGCAGCCGCGGUAAUACGUAGGGGGCAAGCGUUAUCCGGAUUUACUGGGUGUAAAGGGAGCGUAGACGGCGAAGCAAGUCUGAAGUGAAAACCCAGGGCUCAACCCUGGGAGUGCUUUGGAAACUGUUUUGCUAGAGUGUCGGAGAGGUAAGUGGAAUUCCUAGUGUAGCGGUGAAAUGCGUAGAUAUUAGGAGGAACACCAGUGGCGAAGGCGGCUUACUGGACGAUAACUGACGU
rnacentral:rRNA from 1 species